CACAUUGUCCUUGAUAUCUCCUUUUUGUUUCUCCUGCUGAAUAAACCUGGCAGAUGUUGCAGCAGCGGGAGUGGGCCAAAAGAGCUCCAUAUUCUGGAGGGAAGGCACCUCCACUAAACCAAAAGGGAUUUCAUUUAGGCUUGAGCAGUGUUUAAGGAAAACUUGUUGCAGUCUAGGGAAGUGAUGGCCUGAAGCAUUCCAGUGUUCCAAAUUUGUCCUUCCAAUAUGCAAGACCCGAAGCAGACGGAAGCCUCCAUCAAGCGGUUCCCACUGUGUUCCCUUAAAAGCAUAGUCUUUUAGUUUCAGCACUUCAAGAUUUGGCAGCAUACCUAGUGUAGAUAUAUGGCUCCAAUCAAGGAAGGUGUCUGAUAAAGUCAGCUUCUUCAGGUUCGGCGGGAACUUGUACGAUUGAGGAAGACUGGGUAGUUGACAUUGGGAUGGGGGGAGGGGAAAUGUGUCAUUAAGCAGCUUCAGAGUCUCCAGGUUGUCCAAUUUGGCAAGAUUAUCGAACAAGCUUGAGUCUCCAUUUGUAGCCACAAGUGUAGCUAACUUCCCACGAAUUCCUAACUUCCUUAGACCAGGAGUUCGUGCCAAUAUAUUUUCUUUACAACAAUCAGGCAAAACGGUCGAAAUGGUCUGGAU